GAUGAACGCUAGCGAUAGGCUUAACACAUGCAGUCGAGGGGCAGCAUAUCUUAGCUUGCUAAGAUAGAUGGCGACCGGCGCACGGGUGCGUAACGCGUAUGCAACCUGCCUGUAAUUAGGGAAUAACCCGGUGAAAGUCGGACUAAUACCCUAUAUUCUUCUUUCUCCGCAUGGAGGAGGACGGAAAGAUUUAUUGAUUACAGAUGGGCAUGCGUCUCAUUAGCUGGUUGGUAAGGUAACGGCUUACCAAGGCAACGAUGGGUAGGGGGACUGAGAGGUUGACCCCCCACACUGGUACUGAGACACGGACCAGACUCCUACGGGAGGCAGCAGUGAGGAAUAUUGGUCAAUGGGCGAGAGCCUGAACCAGCCAAGUCGCGUGAAGGAGGACGGUUCUAUGGAUUGUAAACUUCUUUUGUAGAGGAAUAACGGCAGCUACGUGUAGCUGAGAUGCAUGUACUCUACGAAUAAGUAUC
rnacentral:rRNA from 1 species